CUGAAUUGUCAAACGGGUUGUUGCUGGCCCUCAUAGGGGGCAUGUGCACGCUCUGUUUACACAUCCACUCACACCUGUGCACCCUCUGUAGUUCUAUGGUCUGGGGGACCCUGUCUUCCUUCUGUGGUUCUACGUCUUUACACACACACUGUAAUAAAGUUUUAUGGAAUGUACAUCGCGUCUAACGCAAUACAAUA
rnacentral:misc_RNA from 1 species